AACGAACGCUGGCGGCGUGUUUAAGACAUGCAAGUCGCACGGGAUUCUUUUGGUAGCAAUACUUGAAGGGUCCAGUGGCGCACGGGUGAGUAACACGUGAAUGACAUGCCCUUGAGAGGGGGAUAGCCCAGGGAAACUUGGAUUAAUACCCCAUGGUCUCGCAAGAGUAAAAGGUGGCCAGCAAUGGCUGUCGCUCAGGGAUUGGUUCGCGGCCUAUCAGCUAGUUGGCGGGGUAACGGCCCACCAAGGCGACGACGGGUACCUGGUCCGAGAGGACGAUCAGGCACACUGGAACUGAGACACGGUCCAGACACCUACGGGUGGCAGCAGUCGAGAAUAAUUCACAAUGGGGGCAACCCUGAUGGUGCAACGCCGCGUGGAGGAUGAAGGUCCUCGGAUUGUAAACUCCUGUCAUCCGGGAGCAAGACCUGACGGUGAAUAGCCGGCAGGGUUGAUAGUACCGGAAGAGGAAGGGACGGCUAACUUCGUGCCAGCAGCCGCCGUAACAC
rnacentral:rRNA from 1 species